GGGGUUUACAGGAGAGACAGCCGUUCAGUGCAGAACAUGUCGCACAUCCUGCAUGACAGCUGUUUCCCACUGGAUCACUACCUGUCGCAGGUUUAGAGUUCAUCCAGUCAACAGAGACGCGUCACGUCACACCCAAAAUCUAACGAGGACGUGUUUGAAUGAGUUGGUGAAGGGCUCCAUAAUAUUCCUUCAGUUGGGUCCAUGCAAAGACUGCAGCAGUGAAGUGUAGAAAUGUUUUCUUCCAGGAAAAAUCCAGUGUGCAUUCCAUGAGUUCACAUAAGUUGGCAGGACGGCGUGGAGAAAGCAAACAAGAGAGAAGCCAUCAUAAGAUAGUUGAGUCUCAAACAAAUCCAAGGUUUGGGAUGUACCCCACCUCUGGUCAAUCUAUCCCUGAAAAUCGGCACCAACACCCUCAGCAGCAGCAACCCUGCAAGAAAUUAGCAGCAAUGUAAAAUAAAUGGAUGAAUAAAUGUAUUGUUCAUUAGAAAACCUGA